UGAGGAAUAUUGGUCAAUGGACGGAAGUCUGAACCAGCCAAGUAGCGUGCAGGAUGACGGCCCUAUGGGUUGUAAACUGCUUUUGUAUGGGGAUAAAGUUAGGGACGUGUCCCUAUUUGCAGGUACCAUACGAAUAAGGACCGGCUAAUUCCGUGCCAGCAGCCGCGGUAAUACGGAAGGUCCAGGCGUUAUCCGGAUUUAUUGGGUUUAAAGGGAGCGUAGGCUGGAGAUUAAGUGUGUUGUGAAAUGUAGACGCUCAACGUCUGAAUUGCAGCGCAUACUGGUUUCCUUGAGUACGCACAACGUUGGCGGAAUUCGUCGUGUAGCGGUGAAAUGCUUAGAUAUGACGAAGAACUCCGAUUGCAAAGGCAGCUGACGGGAGCGCAACUGACGCUUAAGCUCGAAGGUGCGGGUAUCAAACAGGAUUAGAUACCCUGGUAGUCCGCACAGUAAACGAUGGAUGCCCGCUGUUGGUACCUGGUAUCAGCGGCUAAGCGAAAGCAUUAAGCAUCCCACCUGGGGAGUACGCCGGCAACGGUG
rnacentral:rRNA from 1 species